GAGAGAGAGGGUGGGAAGGAAAGAGAGAAAGAGGGUGGGUGGGAAGGAACGAGAGAGAGAGAGAGAGAGAGGUUUUGAAGACGUGAUUUAAUGGCUGGUGGUGGAACUGCAAAAUGUCCAAAAAAAUGACCAAAAAGAAGAGAACGUCACUGAUUUUUUCGAAAGAUGACCAAAGAACCUAAAGUCAUGUUGGGUUUUCUCUCAAUAUGAUCACGGGGAUGAAGGCUACGUGUGUUUCAUGGAGGAAUAAGUAGCCUGGAGCACUUUUUCAGUAGUCAACACAUCCAUAUACUUCAUUCCUUCACUAUAACCCGAGCAGUUACGACACAAGGCCCAGACCGAAGCUUUACAACAAGGCCGAUCGCACACAUCUGACAAGGCUUUCAUAGAGGUUGCCGGCACUUGCAUGGGUAGUUAGUUAGGACUCAAGGCGCUGACGAGACCGAGGCUUUACAACGAGGCCAAUCGCAUACAUCUGACAAGGCUUUCAUAGAGGUCACCGGCACUUGCAUGGGUAGUUAGUUACGACUCAAGGCGCUGACGAGACCGAGGCUUUACAACGAGGCCAAUCGCAUACAUCUGACAAGGCUUUCAUAGAGGUUGUCAGCACUUGCAUCCAUGGGUAGUUAGUGACCGUUGUGGUAGUUCAACAAGGCUUCUGCAUCAUGAAACGCGACAAGACUCAUAAGAACCCGAUUAAUCUCCUUAUCGACCUUAGGAGAUAAUUGAUGUUAGAGCCGAAAGCGUCUGGAUACUGGUGUGAGACAAAACGAAACUACAAAACGAGCAUCACUAGUCUUGACGUAGGAACUAUUCAACAAGCAGUAAAUAGUAAGA